UACGGAGGGUGCAAGCGUUAUCCGGAUUCACUGGGUUUAAAGGGUGCGUAGGCGGGCAGGUAAGUCCGUGGUGAAAUCUCUGAGCUUAACUCAGAAACUGCCAUGGAUACUAUUUGUCUUGAAUUUUCUGGAGGUAAGCGGAAUAUGUCAUGUAGCGGUGAAAUGCUUAGAUAUGACAUAGAACACCAAUUGCGAAGGCAGCUUGCUACAGGGAUAUUGACACUGAGGCACGAAAGCGUGGGGAUCAAACAGG
rnacentral:rRNA from 1 species